rnacentral:rRNA from 1 species
UGGGGAAUUUUGCACAAUGGGGGAAACCCUGAUGCAGCGACGCCGCGUGAUUUAGAAGGCCUUCGGGUUGUAAAAAUCUUUUUUACGGGAUGAAAAUGACAGUACCGUAAGAAUAAGGUCCGGCUAAAUACGUGCCAGCAGCCGCGGUAAUACGUAUGGACCGAGCGUUGUCCGGAAUCAUUGGGCGUAAAGGGUACGUAGGCGGCCUAGUAAGUUAGAAGUGAAAUAAUAUAGCUCAACUAUAUAAAGCUUUUAAAACUGCUAGGCUUGAGAGAUGGAAGGGAAAGUAGAAUUCCUAGUGUAGCGGUGAAAUGCGCAGAUAUUAGGAAGAAUACCGGUGGCGAAGGCGACUUUCUGGUCAUCAUCUGACGCUGAGGUACGAAAGCGUGGGUAGCAAACAGG